ensembl:lncRNA
GUCACAUAACAAACGUCACAUGUGCAUUGGAUGCGAGGAGCCAGAGCUCCAAAAUAAUUCUUCUGAAACAAACUUCGGCAUCGCGGUGGUUCUCAGCUGACCCAUAAUGUGUCCCAGGCCUUCCCAGUGCUGAGCUGCAGGAUGGGCUUCCAGUAAUGAGUUCUCAAUGAAGUGUUUUUCUAAUUAUAGCAAAUUAUUUUUACAAACAUUUUCCUGGGAAGAGAGUCUGAAAUUAGAGCCAAAAAGGUGGAAGGCUGAGAGGUAGGCAGUGCCUGAAAUAAAACAUUGACUGCAUGCUAAUUUUUCCUUAUUACUAUCAGGUCAGAUAGUUCUUCAAAUGCAGAACAACACAUUUCCGAGCUCCUCAGAUAAAGCUGAUGAGUGCUGCUGGAAGACUAUGACUGUUGGUUUGUGCACUACUGGCCCUCAAGCUUCAUGUUAAUGAGUUGUCAUGAACUCUGUUCAAACACAGCCGGCUCGUGGCUUUGUAAGGCUGGAGCAGCCCUGAAUGGGGACACCCCUCUGCUGCCACCCUGCAGUGCAGGGCUGCCUGGCACGGAGCUGGGGCUGCUCCCAGAGCCAGGACAGAGAAUAGCUCCCGGCCUGAGGGCUGCAGGUCAGCCUGCCCCAAUGGGAAGGAUGUCAGAUCUGCUUUCCCAUCUCAGUGUUGCAACCUAUCUAAAUGUCACGACUUCUGCUCUUUUUCUGGAGCAAACUUACUUUCCUGUUUACAGAUGUUCUUAGGUUUUUUUUGGGGGGGAAAGCGAGCUAUUAUUAGCAAUCACUAACAAAAUCCACCUUUGGAUUUUGGUGUAAAAAUCCACCUCUGGAGGUACUGUGCCAUAGAAAUGCAAAGUUCAUAUCAAUGUAGGCAGCUUGGCUGCUCGGUGCUGCUGCUUUCCAGAAGAGGUUUCCAGCCUGCUGGUGCUGCAGAGUGCUGUGUGUGUGCCAUUCCCAUGGCUCCUACGAUCAGCUGGAUAGUUUAAUUAAAGUUAAUCAUGGAAAGAUCCAUGACACUUGGAUAUAGGUGGGGUGGGCUAAGUAUAGCCGGUUAAUUGCCUUACUGCCAACCUGACUGUAGGCUAUUGUUCACCAGAAAGGAGUUAGUUAAUUUUUUCUGCAACAAAACAAAACAAAACAAAACAAAAAAUCCUCCCCAGAUCCCAGAGCCCAGCCCAGCAGCCGGGCUCACCUCAGCUCAGCCAUUGGCACUGCAGUGUGGUCGGUGGGGUUGGUGGAGGGCUCCGCAGGUUGUCCAAAUGGGAGUUGUUGGUACCACAUGUAGGGCACAGAGCAGAGGUGGUCUGGGAAGGAAUGCGGGCAAUGAAUGUUGUAUGGCGUGCAUAGCUGCUUUGUGAGGAAUUUGAGAUUAAACUGCCCUGGGUGGUGGAUACUCAUCUGGAUGCCUGUAGUGACCGCGCUGUCUGAGCGGACUCCUCCGAGCUCGCCCUGGUUGCUCUCAUGAAGCACCUAAGGGUUAAAGACGGAUUGCUGCCCUCUCCCCCCACCCGUAAAGGUAAUUAUACCACCAUCUAUUUAGCUGCUGAAGAAUUUGCCAUUGAGUAGAUAGGGCCCUGCUUCACCAGAGCCCUUCAGCCGCCCAACAAUAUCGCAUUACCCAGAUUGUAUAAAGAGCACGAACGAUUUCCGCUCGCGGAUCUAUAAUGGAGGUAUCUCUUUACAAAGGCCCUACUUCAGGCCAGCUGAAUGCCUCCGCCGUGCCUCAGAAAUCCCGCAGCCCUAAUCCCUUCAGCAACAAAGAUCUGUUUCUUUGCUUAGCAUGAAGUAGACCUCAGAGGCCGGUGUGUGCCUUGGCCUGUAGGCCAAAAGCCUCCUGUUUACAAUUUCCCUAUUCCUGUUUUUAAUGUUGUUCUGAGAGCAGCCACAAAGGGCCAGUUUUGUCCAGCAGGAACAAGGGAGCUAUUAGAGAGGGACGGAGGAAGGAAGGAAGGGAGAUCCAAAAGGAGCAGCCCAGGAGGGAUUAGCAUACACAGCUGUUCCCCGAGGGACAGGAGCUUUAUGCUUUUUAUAAUUUCCCUCUCAUUUACAUUUUUUAAUAUCUCGUUUCCUCCUUUCUGCACCCCCUCCCCCCUUCCUUCAGGACCAUCUGCCCGUUUUAUUGCAGUUUUGUUUUUCAGCGCGCCCAGCGCCGCGUGCUCCCCGGCUCCAAGGAUCAGCCCCAGUGCCGGCAUCAGCUGCAGAUCAUUGCUCACCCCGAUCCCCCUCUGCCCGCUGUUCACCUUACAGCCAUGUCUGUCCAUGCAGCCCCGAUGUCCCUUCCUGGUGGCAGCGGAGCAGUGGGUCGCGCCGCGCCUGUGCUGGCGAUCAGCGAUCAGCCAAGGCAGAGAGCUCUGUCCCUGAAUGCGCAUUGUUCUCACAGAUCCCAGCACCAGAGGGGAGAAUAGUUGAACUGUUUACAAUAUUGUUUCAUAGACUGCUAAAAAGUGGCCGUCUGUUUUUCAGAAGUGCAAUGAAACAUUUAUGAGUGCAGGACUUCCUCCAGCCCCGCUGCGGAGCUGUGGCUGCCCUGUGCCCCACACUGCUGGCUGAGGGGCGGUGGGAUACACACACCUCACUGCUCCCACCCUUCUCCUGCAGGGCUGUUCCAGGUGCCUGGUUUGCAGGCACAGAGCCGUGGCACCUGGCGGGACUGCUUCAGAGCUACAAAGUGCUCCUGCUGCCUCUGCCUGUGACAAUUCAUACUGUGGAGUUCUUCCAAGAAUUUUUCAAUUUCCACAGAUGAAAAUAUAGUCUAAACCAGAUGCCAGCUGAAACGCACUCACUUCGUACCACCUCGCCAAGGCAGCGCGCCACGGGCUCAGCAAUGUGACCUUUAAAAUAGCCUUUCUAGAACACACUGCUAAGAGCACUUUCUAAAAAGCCACAAUUGCAGCUACUCUUAUUACUCAUAAUGUCUUUGAUGGAGAGGAAUACUCAGGGAACUUCAGCUUCAGCAACCCGGUAGAGUCAGUUCUGUGCAGCGGAGGCUUCCUUCGUGGCAUUACAGACUUGAGACCACGAUGAGAGCGUUGGUGAUAAUGAACAUUUCCUAAAGCAUUACUUGUAUAAGAUUAAAAUGAAAUAAAAGCAGUGAAACCUUUGCUUUGCCCAUGUGAAAGAAUGGCUCUGCCACUUAGCCAUUCGUUCCUAGAAGUGGAUACGUAUACCUGUGCCUUCUCCAUGUAUUUGUAAGUCUAACAAAUACUAUACACACAAAUAUACACCAAUGUUAUGCAAAAUGCAUUCAGGCAAUGUAUUUCAAAUCAAUGAAUAUUUUGAGUCAUCAGCCUAAAUGGUGUUUGUAGAUGCAUAAUUGCACGCUACUUUCUGGGAUUUUUUGUAGUAUUCUGAGUGGCGUUGAGCCGCCACUUCAUUAAAACUGUCCCUUGGGAUCCAAUUCUUUGGGUUUGUUUUUGCAUGUGCCAGGAAAUUCGGACCCUGAUUUCUGUAUGGCCACCACUGCCAUGCUGGUGCACUGCCGGCCGGCGGCACUGUGUGGCACUGCAUGGCCCUGGUGGGCACAGGGAGCAGAAUAACAUGAGAUCCAGUUUGCUUUGGUCGGUCCAGGAGAGACUUCACAGCAGCAGUGAUGGGACACUUUAGAGUUGGCUGAGUGGAGUUUUCCUAUCAUUUCUGAACCUUCUGUCCUUAAACUGAUUCAACUAAAUAUGUGACAUUUUGAGGAAAACUUGCCCUGUGUCUUUAGCUUCUUUCAUACCAGACAGGGUGGGAACAAGAUAAGUUUGCCUUAAAAGCCUUUGUUUUCACUCACUUCUCUACUUGCUUGGUGUCCCAACACACUGGUAUUCAGAUUUGUCACCUCACAGGGCCUUGGUUCUGCCAGAACUCCUGCCUCUGGCUACCAGCAGUGGGAUAUUGAAGGGUUUGAGCUGCAGUCAUCAAGCAGCAACAAACUUACUGCUUUAAUCAGCUCCUUUCCAUGCGAGAUACAACUUGCUGAGCUCCGUGGUUCCUAGAGGUAAUGCCUCAUUUCCAAAAACUCCUGUUUCUGACCAUUGCUGUGGUUUCCCUGGAGUGGGACAGCCAUCCUUGCUCAGUCCCUGCCCCAUCAUUGCCCUGCCCAGCAAUACAGGGCCAGAAGCCCCACUCCCACUUCUCCUUGCACAGCCUUUGGUGGCUCAUGGGACUGCGCUGGCACUGCUGCUCUGUGCCAUGUGGUGACAGGGCUGUUAUUCCAGAGCAACCGGAUGGGGACCACCAAUUUAGUUCUCACAGACCAUGGCUUCUGGCUCUUCGAGAGCAUUGUUUUGACACUGGCAGGAAAAAAUUAGGCCAUUGUCUUUGCUCCCAUGAAAUUUCCUGUCCUCUCUUUAUGAGGUGUGUGGCUGCACAAAGUGCCUUUCUGCUCCCGCAGCAGCGAAUCUUGACACCCACAGCUUGGGCUGGUGUCCCAGGGUGGGUUUUCUUUCCGGGUUGAUUUGGGAUUUUUGCCCACGGAAAAUGAAUGAAUGAACAAAUAAUUUGCAGCUGUCCGAAUGGCCGUAACAUCUCCGCGCUCUGCCCAGAGCUCUGGAAAUGGAUAUCAGAGCUGCUCAGGGCUUUGAUGCAGCCUCUGCACCUGGCCUAUGCUCUGGGUCUGGCAUAUCCCUGUGUGCUGUCACUGCCCUAACGCAGUGCAGUCAAGGCUCUGGUAUCCUCUGUUCAAAUAACUCAUCUUCUGCAGUGUGCACACUAUGCAACUCAGCAUUCCCUGUUUGAUAAUGAAGGUCAAACCCAAAAGCAACUGGUCAAUUUUGGUCUCAUCCUUUUUAUUCCUAACAAAGAAGCAGCAGUACCUGCAGGCCCAGAGCGUGGUGUAAGCUGGUGUGAUGCUCUCCUUUGCUGUGUGUAAGGACUGCUGAUGCCAGCAGGUAUCUGGUGCAGAUGAGUGCAUUCACAUGGAAGCCCAUGUGCAGCUCUGCUGUGCUGGGUAAUUGUGGGUCACUUGGUUGGCUCUGAAAGGCCUCACCACUUAGGAAUAAGCACUCAAAGGAGUGGACAUUUGCCUGCUUUCCAUACUACAGGCAUCAUUAAGGGCUUUGUUUUCUUUUUUAUCAGGCUCUGUAUAGAAUUUUCAAU